GCCAAUCAGAGCGUCCGUUCAGGCAAAACCCCGCCUUUUCCACAGACAGAACUCCUGCCAUUGGCCAGCGGGAUGUCUGUAACACGAGAUGGAUUGAGGCGCCACGUUGCAAGCUGAUUCUCAAACUCACAGUGCAGUCAGUCAGUAUGGGUCGGCCUAAAGAGUUAAAACAGGAGCUGUGAUAAGUUGUUAAAGCUUAACAACCUGCAGACUUGCUUCAGUAUCAUGUUCGUGUUCCCACUCGUACCAACACGCACCCACCAUGUUGGUGUGGCUGCGUUUAAAUGUAUCGAGCUUACAGGUCGUAAUGAAGACCAUGAAAAGAAGAUUAGCCGGAGGUGCUAUAGCAGACCGUCUGGGGACCAUCAUCAUGAGACUGUGGGGACCUGUGCUUGUUCCGGGAGCUGGCACCCUCUGGCUUUCUUGAGCUGGCCGCAUGAUUGACAUUAAUGGUCCGGUUUUGGGAAAGAAUGAGCAGAUAGGGUGGUGGAACGGUUUUUGGCUGCAGAAGGAGUGUCUCCCCUGGGCUGCAGCGCGGCUCCUGUCCCCUUCUCUCCCUGCAGCUGGAGCUACCAGAGCCAGAUGCUGCGUAGCUCCACCACCCUCUGUCCCCCCUCUCUCUCUUCCAGGAGGAUGGUGCCCAGAGAGGAGGAUGACAAACGCCUCUGCCUCCUCUUACUGACGGAUUUGGACGACCUGACUCCAGCCCCGCACUGUUCCAACCGCCAGCACAAGAUGUUGACUUAAUGGAAGGGGGUUGGCUGUGGAUUGGCCCAUAUGCGUUUGUAUUGGGAAAAUAUGGCAGGGCGAUGUGUCUGUGUAUCUGUGUAUUCAGUAUGAUUGUGUGUGUCUGUGUGUGUGUCUUCACCUAGCCCAGACUGCCUACAUCCAUCAUGCCAUGGCACUCUGGCAGAGAGUGGGACUCAGACAGCUUCACUAACACACGGUCAGUUAAAUUGCCUGUUAAAUUGUCCUGGUCUGUAGCUAUCUUAGGUGUAGAUAAAAACACUGCACUUAAAGCCUGCACUUAAAGGCAAAAAUUGUCAAGUAAAUGCCAGCCUCCCUCCAUGCAUAGAGAAAGAGGGAGAGACAGAGAUCCUCUAAGGGAAGCACAUUUUCUUUAUGAGACAAAAUCCUGCGGCACACACAAACAGGAAUUUAUGUUUGUCUAUUCUUAGCAUAUUUAUGAAUUCUAAAAUAUCAACAUUUUUGUGUUUUCAUCAGGUUAUACAGUUUAUAGUCAAAUAUGAUGGCCUACAGUCUAUUAUGUGAGUUCCAACUCCCCUUGACCAAUAGGCAAAAUUAUGCACAAGCAGCAAAACCUUAAUACCUCUUCAUCAAACGUUGCUGUGCUCUCUUAAUGAUUAAAACGACGGUCUCAACCCAAUACAUCUGACAUUUCUCUCCAUGCAACCAUAUGGAAAAUUAAGUCUCAUUCUUUUAACAUUACUGGGUUACCAUAGAUAAUUGCCUGCGUCCUACUUGCACACCUGGAGCGGAAGGCUUUAAACUAAAUGCUCUCUUGAAAGCAGCAAUGUAGUGGUACUGUUAGUUACAGCCUCUGUUCAGUGUUUUAUCCUAAAGAAAACUGGUACAAAUAAGAAACAAGCAUUUGUCAUUUAAGUAUAUGGUCUAUCUCACAUGAACUUUGGUGAUUUGUUACAUUUUGAGUACCAAAAUGAGUUACUAUUAUAGAGUUAUGAGUUACACAAAAGAGUGUAAAAUCCAGUUUGGAAAAUUGCGUUAUUCUCUAUAUUCUAUAUUCUUAUCAAACUCAGCAGUAUGUGUAAUGAAAUCAUACAUAGAGUUAAAAAUUCUGCUCUGAAAUGGUUUAUAGGCUUUGCUGUGAGUCUGGAUUUGGCCCUUAACUCCAAAUGGAAACAUUUGCAUGUGUUCAAAUGAAUUUUAAAGACUGUUAUUAACAGCUAACAAUUUUAACAGUUAUUAAAUAUUUACCCUAGUUAUAUAUAUAUAUAUAUAUAUAUAUAUUACUGUUUCACAUUACUGUUUCAUUAUCAAAUAAUAGAUUUUAUGAAUCUGUACUUGGUAUAAAUUGAGACUCUUAAUGUAUCUGUCAUUUUUAUUUUAUUAAAUAAUGUGUCCGAUGUUUAAGGCAGCAUGCUGUGGCGUGCUAGACCCUUGAUAGGUAGACAGAUGGAUGUAGUCUGCCAACAUAAACUCAGUGGUAUGAGAGGUCAUUUCUAUUGACAUGCCACAGAACUACAGACAUACAAUAACUAUACCACUGAACAAUGUGUGACAGUGACUGUGAAAACAUCAAUACGUGUCAGCAGCCAUUAAGAAAAUAUUUUUUAUUUAUCAGCUCCGAGGCAUAACACAGAGACAUCCUGAUCUGUAGUAAUCAAAUGAGGCUUGAUAAUACUCAA